CAGUAGCCGCUGGAAUACGUAGGUGGCAAGCGUUGUCCGGAAUUAUUGGGCGUAAAGGGCUCGCAGGCGGUUUCUUAAGUCUGAUGUGAAAGCCCCCGGCUCAACCGGGGAGGGUCAUUGGAAACUGGGAAACUUGAGUGCAGAAGAGGAGAGUGGAAUUCCACGUGUAGCGGUGAAAUGCGUAGAGAUGUGGAGGAACACCAGUGGCGAAGGCGACUCUCUGGUCUGUAACUGACGCUGAGGAGCGAAAGCGUGGGGAGCGAACAGGAUUAGAUACCCCGGUAGUCCCUGUCUCUUAUAC
rnacentral:rRNA from 1 species